rnacentral:rRNA from 1 species
UACGAAGGGUGCAAGCGUUACUCGGAAUUACUGGGCGUAAAGCGUGCGUAGGUGGUUUGUUAAGUCGGAUGUGAAAGCCCUGGGCUUAACCUGGGAAUGGCAUUCGAUACUGGCAGACUUGAGUUCGAUAGAGGGUUGUGGAAUUUCCGGUGUAGCGGUGAAAUGCGUAGAGAUCGGAAGGAACAUCAGUGGCGAAGGCGGCAACCUGGAUCAGAACUGACACUGAGGCACGAAAGCGUGGGGAGCAAACAGG